rnacentral:rRNA from 1 species
GAUGAACGCUGGCGGCGUGCCUAAUACAUGCAAGUCGAGCGAACGGACGAGAAGCUUGCUUCUCAGAUGUUAGCGGCGGACGGGUGAGUAACACGUGGAUAACCUACCUAUAAGACUGGGAUAACUUCGGGAAACCGGAGCUAAUACCGGAUGAUAUUUUGAACCGCAUGGUUCAAAAGUGAAAGACGGUCUUGCUGUCACUUAUAGAUGGAUCCGCGCUGCAUUAGCUAGUUGGUAAGGUAACGGCUUACCAAGGCAACGAUGCAUAGCCGACCUGAGAGGGUGAUCGGCCACACUGGAACUGAGACACGGUCCAGACUCCUACGGGAGGCAGCAGUAGGGAAUCUUCCGCAAUGGGCGAAAGCCUGACGGAGCAACGCCGCGUGAGUGAUGAAGGUCUUCGGAUCGUAAAACUCUGUUAUUAGGGAAGAACAUAUGUGUAAGUAACUGUGCACAUCUUGACGGUACCUAAUCAGAAAGCCACGGCUAACUACGUG